AUUGAACGCUGGCGGCAGGCUUAACACAUGCAAGUCGAGCGGGGGAAGGUAGCUUGCUACCGGACCUAGCGGCGGACGGGUGAGUAAUGCUUAGGAAUCUGCCUAUUAGUGGGGGACAACAUCUCGAAAGGGAUGCUAAUACCGCAUACGUCCUACGGGAGAAAGCAGGGGAUCACUUGUGACCUUGUGCUAAUAGAUGAGCCUAAGUCAGAUUAGCUAGUUGGUGGGGUAAAGGCCUACCAAGGCGACGAUCUGUAGCGGGUCGGAGAGGAUGAUCCGCCACACUGGGACUGAGACACGGCCCAGACUCCUACGGGAGGCAGCAGUGGGGAAUAUUGGACAAUGGGGGGAACCCUGAUCCAGCCAUGCCGCGUGUGUGAAGAAGGCCUUAUGGUUGUAAAGCACUUUAAGCGAGGAGGAGGCUCUUUUGGUUAAUACCCAAGAUGAGUGGACGUUACUCGCAGAAUAAACACCGGCUAACUCUGUGCCAGCAGCCGCCGUAA
rnacentral:rRNA from 1 species